UACGAAGGGGGCUAGCGUUGUCCGGAUUUACUGGGCGUAAAGAGCGCGUAGGCGGAAGCUUAAGUGUGGCCUGAAAGCCCCCGGCUCAACCGGGGAGGGUGGCUGCAAACUGGGCUUCUUGAGGUCGAUAGAGGAGAGCGGAAUUCCUGGUGUAGCGGUGAAAUGCGUAGAUAUCAGGAGGAACACCGGUGGCGAAGGCGGCUCUCUGGGUCGGACCUGACGCUGAGGCGCGAAAGCGUGGGGAGCGAACGGG
rnacentral:rRNA from 1 species